rnacentral:rRNA from 1 species
UACGUAGGGGGCGAGCGUUGUCCGGAUUUACUGGGCGUAAAGCGCACGCAGGCGGUCUGCUAAGUUUGGAGUGACAGUUGGUGGCUUAACUGCCAAAGUGCUUCGAAAACUGACAGACUUGAGGGCUUCAGAGGGACACGGAAUUCCGGGUGGAGUGGUGAAAUGCGUAGAGAUCCGGAGGAACACCAAAGGCGAAGGCAGUGUCCUGGGGAGUACCUGACGCUCAGGUGCGAAAGCCAGGGGAGCGAACGGG